UGUGAUGAUGAGAGAACUUUCCCCAACAUAUCGAUAGAUGCUGAUAACUAUGCUGUUAUGUCAAGCCAAAGUCUCUGAUGCAGGCACUCUUUAUAAUUAUUGACCAGGUCUUAUAAAAUUCACUGAAUGAAUGUAUUAAAUGGCAUACAAAAUGUAGAUGUCAUAAGAAAGUUGGGGAACGCAGUUCUAUAAAUGAAUACAAAUUCUUUGAAAUAUACAAACAAUACAUAAAUAUGUAAUUGAAUUAUUACAGUAAUUCACCAUGACAUUCCGAGAAAAAGUGAACAUAAACAUGCUUUUGUUUACUACACCUUGGGGAGUUAGGGUUUAUGUGAAUGAAACAAACGUCUUACAGAACUGAAUUUAUAUGAUCAUUGAAUAAAUAAGAAGAGGUAGCAGAUUCAGGACUUUAAUUUAGAGUUUAAAGCUUAUCAUAAAUGUUUUAUACCAUAUACUUCCAUGUAACACUCUGAUAACAAAUACAGUAAGGCCAAGUAUUUAAUUAUGCCAACAAACUUUCAUACUCCGAGUACUUAAGUGGAGAAAUCUUUUUGCUUAAUAAAAUGUGUGCAUGUGAUGAUGAGAGAACUUUCCCCAACAUAUCGAUAGAUGCUGAUAACUAUGCUGUUAUGUCAAGCCAAAGUCUCUGAUGCAGGCACAAAAAAAAAAAAAAAAAAAAAAAAUUAUGAAUCCUAAAAAAUUUGUUGAUUUGAAGUUUAACAGGCAGGCAUUCAAAAUUAUUCAUCCCAUAAUAAGAAAUAAUUACAAAAUCUUUAGAACAACUAUUAAUAAGAUUGACUUAGGGGAAAAAAG
rnacentral:sRNA from 1 species